rnacentral:hammerhead_ribozyme from 1 species
AUCCAACUGACGAAUCACAAAUAGAAUGAGACGCGCGUCCUGGAU